AUUGAACGCUGGCGGCAUGCCUAACACAUGCAAGUCGAACGGUAACGACGGAAGCUUGCUUCCGGGCGACGAGUGGCGGACGGGUGAGUAACACUUAGGAAUCUGCCCAGUAGUGGGGGACAACCAGGAGAAAUCCUGGCUAAUACCGCAUACGCACUACGGUGGAAAGUGGGGGACCUUCGGGCCUCACGCUAUUGGAUGAGCCUAAGUCGGAUUAGCUUGUUGGUGAGGUAAAGGCUCACCAAGGCGACGAUCCGUAGCUGGUCUGAGAGGACGAUCAGCCACACUGGGACUGAGACACGGCCCAGACUCCUACGGGAGGCAGCAGUGGGGAAUAUUGGACAAUGGGCGCAAGCCUGAUCCAGCAAUGCCGCGUGUGUGAAGAAGGCCUGCGGGUUGUAAAGCACUUUCAGUAGAGAAGAAAAGCCUAGGGUUAAUACCCCUGAGUCUUGACGUAACCUACAGAAGAAGCACCGGCUAACUCCGUG
rnacentral:rRNA from 1 species